UACGUAGGGUGCGAGCGUUGUCCGGAAUUAUUGGGCGUAAAGGGCUCGUAGGCGGUUUGUCGCGUCGGGAGGGAAAAUCCAGGGCUUAACCCUGGGAUUGCUUUCGAUACGGGCAGACUGGAGGCAUGCAGGGGAGAACGGAUUUCCUGGUGUAGCGGUGAAAUGCGCAGAUAUCAGGAGGAACACCGGUGGCGAAGGCGGUUCUCUGGGCAUGUCCUGACGCUGAGGAGCGAAAGUGUGGGGAUCGAACAGG
rnacentral:misc_RNA from 1 species